rnacentral:rRNA from 1 species
GACGAACGCUGGCGGCGUGCCUAAUACAUGCCAGUAGAACGCUGAAGGAGGAACUUGCUUCUCUGGAUGAUUUGCGCACGGGUGAGUAACGCGUAGGUAACCUGCCUGGUAGCGGGGGAUAACUCUUGGAAACGAUAGCUCAUACCGCAUAAUAGUAGUUGUUGCAUGACAUUUGCUUAAAAGGUGCAAUUGCAUCACUACCAGAUGGACCUGCGUUGUAUUAGCUAGUUGGUGAGGUAACGGCUCAACAAGGCAACGAUACAUAGCCGACCUGAGAGGGGGGUCGGCCACACUGGGACUGGGACACGGCCCAGACUCCUACGGGAAGCAGCAGUAGGGAAUCUUCGGCAAUGGACGGAAGUCUGACCGAGCAACGCCGCGUGAGGGAAGAAGGUUUUCGGAUCGUAAAGCUCUGUUGUAAGAGAAGAACGAGUGUGGGAGUGGAAAGUGCACACUGUGACGGUAUCUUACCAGAAAGGGACGGCUAACUACGUG